rnacentral:tRNA from 1 species
GGACCCGUAGCUCAACUGGAUAGAGCAGCCGCUUCUUAAGCGGACGGCUGGAGGUUCGAUUCCUCCCGGAUCCACCC